rnacentral:rRNA from 1 species
UCCUACGGGGCGCAGCAGUAAGGAAUCUUGCACAAUGGGGGAAACCCUGAUGCAGCGACGCCGCGUGAGCGAUGAAGCCCUUCGGGGUGUAAAGCUCUUUCGACGGGAACGAUUAUGACGGUACCCGGAGAAGAAGCUGCGGCUAACUACGUGCCAGCAGCCGCGGUAAUACGUAGGAAGCAAACGUUGUUCGGAAUUACUGGGCGUAAAGAGUGUGUAGGCGGUCUUGUAAGUUUGGUGUGAAAUCUCCCGGCUUAACUGGGAGGGUGCGCCGAAAACUGCAAGGCUUGAGUACUGGAGAGGAUAGCGGAAUUCCUGGUGUAGCGGUGAAAUGCGUAGAUAUCAGGAGGAACACCGGCGGUGUAGACGGCUGUCUGGACAGUAACUGACGCUGAGACACGAAAGCGUGGGGAGCAAACAGGAUUAGAUACCCUCGU